rnacentral:rRNA from 1 species
AAGCGGCGGAGCAUGCGGAUUAAUUCGAUGCAACGCGAAGAACCUUACCAAGGCUUGACAUACACCGGUAACGCCCAGAGAUGGGUGCCCCUUUGUGGUCGGUGGACAGGUGGUGCAUGGUUGUCGUCAGCUCGUGUCGUGAGAUGUUGGGUUAAGUCCCGCAACGAGCGCAACCCUCGUCCUAUGUUGCCAGCGGGUCAUGCCGGGGACUUAUGGGAGACUGCCGGGGUCAAACUCGGAGGAAGGUGGGGAUGGCGUCAAAUCAUCAUGCCCCUUAUGUCUUGGGCUUCACGCAUGCUACAAUGGCCGGUACAAAGGGCUGCGAUACCGCGAGGUGGAGCGAAUCCCAGAAAGCCGGUCUCAGUUCGGAUUGGGGUCUGCAACUCGACCCCAUGAAGUCGGAGUCGCUAGUAAUCGCAGAUCAGCAACGCUGCGGUGAAUACGUUCCCGGGCCUU